GCAGCAAGUGACAGGUAAAAGAGGUGUUGUGGUGACCAGGUCGACUUACCCUUCCAGUGGAAAAUGGGCCGGACAUUGGCUUGGAGACAACUAUUCGAGCUGGGACCAGCUUUUCAAAUCUAUUAUAGGCAUGAUGGAGUUCAGUCUCUUUGGCAUCUCUUAUACCGGGGCAGACAUAUGUGGGUUCUUCAAUGACGGAGAGUAUGAGAUGUGUAUUCGCUGGAUGCAGCUGGGUGCCUUCUAUCCGUACUCACGCAACCACAACGGCAAGGGU